rnacentral:rRNA from 1 species
UACGUAGGGGGCAAGCGUUGUCCGGAAUCAUUGGGCGUAAAGCGCGUGUAGGCGGUUCGGUAAGUCUGCUGUGAAAGUCCAGGGCUCAACCCUGGGAUGCCGGUGGAUACUGGCGGACUAGAGUACGGAAGAGGCGAGUGGAAUUCCCGGUGUAGCGGUGAAAUGCGCAGAUAUCGGGAGGAACACCAAUUGCGAAGGCAGCUCGCUGGGACGUCACUGACGCUGAGACGCGAAAGCGUGGGGAGCAAACAGG